AUUGAACGCUGGCGGCAGGCCUAACACAUGCAAGUCGAACGAGUGGCAGACGGGUGAGUAAUGUCUGGGAAACUGCCUGAUGUAGGGGGAUAACUACUGGAAACGGUAGCUAAUACCGCAUACCAUCGGAUGUGCCCCGAUGGGAUUAGCUAGUAGGUGGGGUAAAGGCUCACCUAGGCGACGAUCCCUAGCUGGGCUGCGAGGAUGACCAGGCACACGGGAACUGAGACACGGUCCAGCCUCCUACGGGAGGCAGCGGGGGGGAAUUUUGCACAAUGGGCGCAAGGCUGAUGCAGCCAUGCAGCGUGUAUGAGGAGGGCCUUCGGGUUGUAAAGUACUUACCGCGGGGAGGCGUUACCCGCAGAAGAAGCACCGGCUAACUCCGUGCCAGCAGCCGCGGUAAUUC
rnacentral:rRNA from 1 species